AGAGUUUGAUCAUGGCUCAGAACGAACGCUGGCGGCAUGCCUAACACAUGCAAGUCGAACGCGUGUAGCAAUACACGAGUGGCGCACGGGUGAGUAACACGUGGGAACCUGCCCUGGAGUGGGGGAUAACCCGGCGAAAGCCGGGCUAAUACCGCAUACGACCUGAGGGUGAAAGAUUUAUCGCUCUAGGAGGGGCCCGCGUCGGAUUAGCUAGUUGGUGAGGUAACGGCUCACCAAGGCAAUGAUCCGUAGCUGGUCUGAGAGGAUGAUCAGCCACACUGGGACUGAGACACGGCCCAGACUCCUACGGGAGGCAGCAGUGGGGAAUAUUGGACAAUGGGGGCAACCCUGAUCCAGCAAUGCCGCGUGAGUGAUGAAGGCCUUAGGGUUGUAAAGCUCUUUCGGCGGGGACGAUGAUGACGGUACCCGCAGAAGAAGCCCCGGCUAACUUCGUGCCAGCAGCCGCGGUAAUACGAAGGGGGCGAGCGUUGUUCGGAUUUACUGGGCGUAAAGGGCGCGCAGGCGGCCUUAGUAGUCAGGCGUGAAAGCCCCGGGCUUAACCUGGGAAUUGCGCUUGAUACUCUGAGGCUGGAGUACGGGAGAGGAGAGUGGAAUUCCCAGUGUAGAGGUGAAAUUCGUAGAUAUUGGGAAGAACACCGGUGGCGAAGGCGGCUCUCUGGACCGUAACUGACGCUGAGGCGCGAAAGCGUGGGGAGCAAACAGGAUUAGAUACCCCGGUAGUCC
rnacentral:rRNA from 1 species